rfam:Apaloderma vittatum contig35969, whole genome shotgun sequence.
GACCGGUUAGCUCAGUCAACUGAGCGUGGCGCUGACAACGUCAAGGUCGCGGGUUUGAUUCCCGUUCUGUCC